UGUCUGCGGCCUCGCGGUCGGAGGCGAUCUGUGUUCUGGCGUCCCGAGACCCCGACCUUUUCCGAGGGUGCUGUGGCGCCGCCGUAUCCCCUGUGCAAUCUGUCAGUUGGGUUAUAUUUUAAUGAAAGAGCCUGUAUGGCCGAAAGGGGCUGUGGAUAGCCGAACUAAUUCCCGCCUCUGGGAGGGAGUUGCCGGGUGGCCCGACACUUAGAAGCCACAUGACAGAAACGGCAUGAACGUUACGGGACUGGAGCCCGAAGCCGCUCCGGUGGCAUUUCCUGUCUAAAGCGUUUGUCAGCUCCCUCUGCAGACCUGCCUUUCUGCCACCCUUACCUCGCCCUUUGCUAAACCAGCCCUCAGAGGCCUUCUCCGUCCUGCUGUCCCCGGGCCUCCUUUCCUCUCUCCCCCCGGUGCUGUCAUUUACCCUUCUCUGAAGCCAAAGGAACAGAACACUCCUUAGACGUCGCAGGAGGAUCUUGUUUCCACCGCAUUUCCAUUUAGUGAUCAGAGAGCCACGUCUGCCUUCCCUGCUUUCUGGCUGUUCAUCAAUCAGCUUCCAGAACUACCUGAUGGAAGUUCCAAAUGAAAGACACUGCAGUGGCUCCAGGGCCCCAGGCCACACAGGCCUGGGUGCAAUUCCCAGCCCUCCCUCUCUGUUGGAUGUUGUGUAGUGUGGAACCUAAAGGAAGUUAAGACGAUGUGGAAAAGCUGCUUCCUGGAGUCUGCAGACUGGCCUUCCGUGCUGUUCUAAAGGAAGAAAAAUGGAGGCCUCGGAUCUGGUGAACAGUUCUGAGAGGUGGUACUGCCCCUGUUACUUGCCGUGGGCGUGUCACCUACAUCACGAAACCUACCAAGCGCCCGGGAGUGCGUGGUACUGCACUAGAUACUACAGGCCCUUCUCAACAGGAACCCUUGAGCCGCCUCUUCACCUGAUCUUCCCCGACGUCACCCUGCCUCCCUGCCUCCUGUCAAGUCUCAGGGUCCCAUCAUUAGAGCCACCGUGGUCCUCAGUUAGCUCCUUACUGCCCACGGACAAGGUUGUGUCCCCUUGGAUGCACAUGGGCCCCUCACAUUAACCUCCAUGGUGCUUCUCCAGCCUCACCUUCCCUUGGUCCCGUUCCUUCCUCCAUGCCAGCCAACCCUGAUGCUGCCCCCAAAGAGGCCACAUCUCUUUGCCUUCACAUCCUUGUCUUGCUGGCCCAUGUGUACUUCUCCUCUUCUCCCCCUGGCAGACUUCUACUCAGCCCUGAAGAAACAGCCUUUCUUAGUCUGCUCAGGCUGUGUAACAAAGUGCUGCAGACUGGGUGGCUUCUAAAUGACAAAAGUGUAUUUCUCACAGCUCCUGGGGGCUGGAAGCCCCGGGUCAAGGGCAGGCAUGGUCAGGUUCGGUGGGAGCCCUCCUUCUGGUUCAGCACUAGUGCCUUCUCUCUGCAUCCUCGUGGGGUAAAAGGGUGAGGAGCCUCUUUUAUAAGGGCACUAAAUAAACCCAUUCACAAGGGUUCUUCUCUCAUGAUCUAAGCACCUCCCCAAGGCCCCACCUCCUAACACCAUCAUCUUUGCAGGUUCGGGUUUCAACAUACGAAUUUGGGGGACACAUUCAGACCAUAGCACAGCCCAGAUGUCACCUCCUCUGGGAGGCCUCCACUUCUCAGAAGCAGAGUCGGCCAUUCCCUCACAUGGUUUUGGGGCCCAGAGCCUGCUUCUGCCUUCAUCACCUCCAGUUUAACCAUGAAUUCUUUAUCUGUCAUCCAUGGUGGCCUGGAAACAGCCAGAAGCAAGGACCAUGUCUCGCUCAUCUCUGUAGACCCAACACCCUGACACUCUGCCUGGCGUGUGGCUGCUACAAGUAUUCUGUUAACUGCCUGCUUAAUCUCUGCUAGGCCAAACCGAUAAAUACACUCCUAAAAUGCAUCUGUGACCCCAGGUAAGGGUGGGGAGCCUCUGGGAGGCCUCCUCCCUCCCAUAAACAAGGGUGAGAUGACUCAGUUGUCAUCUUGGCCUGAGACCUGGGAUCAGGAAAGCCCUGAGUGGGAGGAGCUCCCAGCUAGCAAUCUUUGGUCAGCCAGAGGCCACUGCAGGAUCCUCCCGGGGUGGGUGGGGGGCGCUGUGAGUCUGGGCACCUCGGAGGGUGGGGCAAGUGUGGGGCAAGGGAAACAGGCCAGAGGUGAUCGGGCUCUCCAGCCAGUGCCAGGGAAAAGAAGGGGCACAAGAGGUGGCCUGUGUCAUCUUUGCAUGUUGGUUAAAUCCUUGAAAGAAAAGAUAAGGAACUGGAGUGGCAAUGAUGCACUGAUAACAGCCAUGUAAAAACUUCAUCGUUUCACCAACAAAUCCAUCUGAGAAAAACACACAUCUCAGCCAGUUGGCCUUAAGAUUGUUUGCUCUGCCCUGUUAAAAAGAAAGGGAGGAGGAAAAAAAAAGGAUUAAAAAGUGCCAGAGAUUGUGGGAAAUAAAUCAUAGCUGUUUAGAUUCUACCCAUUUCAUCAACAUUCCCAGUUGCUCCUCCAGAGAGGUCUGGCCUGGCUGGAGCUUGACAUUGCCUGAUACCUUCCAUUU